rnacentral:rRNA from 1 species
GAUGAACGCUGGCGGCGUGCCUAAUACAUGCAAGUCGAGCGAACAGACGAGGAGCUUGCUCCUCUGACGUUAGCGGCGGACGGGUGAGUAACACGUGGAUAACCUACCUAUAAGACUGGGAUAACUUCGGGAAACCGGAGCUAAUACCGGAUAAUAUAUUGAACCGCAUGGUUCAAUAGUGAAAGACGGUUUUGCUGUCACUUAUAGAUGGAUCCGCGCCGCAUUAGCUAGUUGGUAAGGUAACGGCUUACCAAGGCAACGAUGCGUAGCCGACCUGAGAGGGUGAUCGGCCACACGGAAACUGAGACACGGUCCAGACUCCUACGGGAGGCAGCAGUAGGGAAUCUUCCGCAAUGGGCGAAAGCUUGACGGAGCAACGCCGCGUGAGUGAUGAAGGUCUUCGGAUCGUAAAACUCUGUUAUUAGGGAAGAACAAAUGUGUAAGUAACUAUGCACGUCUUGACGGUACCUAAUCAGAAAGCCACGGCUAACUACGU